UUGACCUCGGAUCAGGUAGGGAUACCCGCUGAACUUAAGCAUAUCAAUAAGCGGAGGAAAAGAAACCAACAGGGAUUGCUCUAGUAACGGCGAGUGAAGCAGCAAUAGCUCAAAUUUGAAAUCUGGCGUCUUCGGCGUCCGAGUUGUAAUUUGUAGAGGAUGCUUCUGGGCAGCCACCGACCUAAGUUCCUUGGAACAGGACGUCAUAGAGGGUGAGAAUCCCGUAUGCGGUCGGAAAGGCACCCUACACGUAGCUCCUUCGACGAGUCGAGUUGUUUGGGAAUGCAGCUCUAAAUGGGAGGUAAAUUUCUUCUAAAGCUAAAUAUUGGCCAGAGACCGAUAGCGCACAAGUAGAGUGAUCGAAAGAUGAAAAGCACUUUGGAAAGAGAGUUAAAAAGCACGUGAAAUUGUUGAAAGGGAAGGGAUUGCAACCAGACUUGCUCGCGGUGUUCCGCCGGUCUUCUGACCGGUUCACUCGCCGCGUUGCAGGCCAGCAUCGUCUGGUGCCGCUGGAUAAGACUGGAGGAAUGUAGCUCCCUCGGGAGUGUUAUAGCCUCUAGUGAUGCAGCGAGCGCCGGGCGAGGUCCGCGCUUCGGCUAGGAUGCUG
rnacentral:rRNA from 1 species